UUAUAAUCGCACUCCAUUUAAAAAAAAAAAAGAAAAAAGAAAAAAGGGGGACAAAAAGAACGAGAAGGUUAAACUAGUUGAUGGAAUCAUCGAUGGCUUCUUCUCCUUCUCCUUCUCCUUCUCUUGAAGAUUUCAGCACCACUUAAUCCUCCGCAUCUAUCGAUUCUCAAUUUGAAAUGGUGGAUUCUGCGUCAUCACUUCCAUGGCUUUGGGCCAUUCAAUCUGUUGCAAGCAGCAAACAAAUCCACAUUUCUAUAUUACAGGCUUUGAUUCGUGCGGCCCCUGUUGCGCGAGCUGAUUUUUGUGGAAAGACAAGGGAAUUGAUUGCUCUUAGAUGUUUGGAGGAAAUUUUCGAUUCUGCUCAUAGAGUUGGUUGUGAUGAAGCUACAUCAGCUAGCCUGGAUUCAAGAGUUCGGUUUGAUUUUUCUAGCAGUUGUGAAGAUGUCCUCCAAAAAAUACUGGAUGAGAUACCAUUACCCAAUUUAGAAAUGGAUGGAGCUAAGCUUUUGAAAUGGAAUGUUUUCCCAUUUAUUAUGCAUAAAAGAGGCACUAUCAAAUGUGACUUACAGCAGCUAAAAGAAUCAAUCGUUGAAGGUACUCAUCCAUAUGCCGAUCAUUUAAGAGGCAUUAGUGGAUUGCUACAUCAGAAUGAGAAUACAGUGCAUGUCAAUGACAAUGUACGCGAUGAUCUUAGGAAAAGAGAUAAUGGGAAUCACAAUUAUUGCGAAAACAUGGAAGCAAUAGAGAACCCAAUGUUUGCAAUUUUAGAGAAGGUGAAUGAAUCAUCGAAAGAGUCUUUACUUGAUAAGAUUAUACCCUGCAAGAGGAACAGGGUUAAGUCGGCUGAUGAGCAUGUGAUGGGAUACCAACUCAGAAAGCAAGUUGAUAUUAGUGAAUGUGAUGAACUAAAUGCAAAGAAGAGUAGAUGUAGUUCACUUUUAAAUGUUGAUUCCGACAAAGAGAAGUCAGUCCCUCCCCAUGGAAAACAGGUAAUAGAAAAUCAUACCGACAAGGAUGUCCGGGAAAAUCUUGGAGUAGUGUCUGAAGAGGGUAGUCAUGAUCAGCACCUUGCUUCCAAUUGGUGUAAAUCCAGUAACCAGAAUGAAGUCUCUCAUGGUGAGCCACAAGCUUCAAUCAGUAUAAAGCAUACAUCUGACAUUGAAUACUGUCAGCAACAAAAUGAUGAACCAGUUAAAACAAAAGUUCUGCUCACAAACGAAGUUCUUCCUGAAAACGGAGACAAUACUGCACAUAAGGCACUCAAUGUAAUUCAUGAAUUGCAAUCUAAAAGAAAAACAGGUGCUCAAGGGAAGGAACCUAAUGCUGCAGAUGAUAAAGCUGGUGAGGCAGUGAUGUUAAGUGGUGACGAAUAUCAGAAUGAAAAAAUUGGUCUUGCUGCACAAAAGCGCGAAUUAUUUAGCUCUCGCUGCACUUCUAGACAUGAUAUCUCAACAAGUACUAGGCUGACAGAAAAUAAUGUUUGUAUGAAGUGUAAAGAAGGCGGUAAAUUGCUUGUUUGUAGAACAACUACUUGUCCAAUUAUGGUUCAUGAAAGCUGCCUGACUACUUGUCAGAUUGAUGCAGAAGGAAACUUUUUGUGCCCAUUUUGUGUAUAUUAUCAGGCUAUUUCAAGAUGUGUUGAAGCAAAGAAAAAGGCUUCCUUGGCAAGAAAAGAACUUGCAUCUUUUAUAAGGAUAUAAGGUAUCAUAAUCCAUAAUACAACUUCAUGAAGUUAAUAGAAAAUAACAUAGUCCUUGUAGAAAAAAAUCAUACAUAUGAGCAUAUCUGUGAUCAAAAGAGUAGAAAUUGUGCUACCAGGUUCGUUUCGGUAGACAAAUUACGGAGCUCAUCUAUGCAAGCAUCACAUCAAUAGUUUAAAAUUGGAAGAAAUCAGCAACAAGCCUAUGAAUCAUGUGCAGAUCAUCAUGCAAUUGAAAGAAGGGCUUAAAUAAAUGACAAGCUAAAAAUGUUCCUCUAGUAGAAAAGUGAAUAUUAUGGGCAACAAGAAGAACAAUCACUUGUCUUUGGAGGGAUUGCUUAAGUUUGGUUGUGACCCAAUAAUUCCUUGGAAGAAACCUUCUACAUUCUGUUCUAAUGUAUUUGAGAAUGAUAAUUAAGAAGUCAGAAACACACACUACACAAGCUGAAGGAUAAAGGGGAAAGCCUGCAUAGAACUCGCCCAAAAUUGAAAUGACCAGGCUGCUUUUAUUUUUUGAUGGAAUAGGCUUAAUCUUUUUAAUAUUAGUAUAGUUGUUCAUCUUUGUAAGUAUAAUUCUUUCA